rnacentral:rRNA from 1 species
UACGAAGGGGGCUAGCGUUGCUCGGAAUCACUGGGCGUAAAGGGCGCGUAGGCGGCCGGCCAAGUCGGGGGUGAAAGCCUGUGGCUCAACCACGAGAAUGGCCCUCGAUGACUGGACGGCUCGAAGACCGGGAAGAGGUUGGUGGAAUUGCGAGGUGUAGAGGUAGAAAUUCGUAGAUAUUACGCAAGAACACCGGUGGCGAAGGCGGCCGAAACUGGUCCCGGUA